AUUGAACGCUGGCGGUAUGCUUAACACAUGCAAGUCGAACGAGUGGCGGAAGGGUGAGUAAUGCAUAGGAAUCUACCUUUUAGUCUAGGAUAACUACCCGAAAGGGUGGAUAAUACUGGAUGCUAAGAGAUACGAAUAUGUGGGAUUAGCUAGUUGGUGGGGUAAUGGCUCACCAAGGCGACGAUCUCUAGCUGGUUUGUGAGGAUGGUCAGCCCAACUGGGGCUGUGACACGGCCCAGACUCCUACGGGAGGCAGCAGUGGGGAAUAUUGGACAAUGGGCGAAAGCCUGAUCCAGCAAUACCGCGGGUGUGAAGAAGGCCCUAGGGUUGUAAAGCACUUUUGUUAGGGAGAUGUUACCUAAAGAAUAAGCACCGGCUAACUCCGUGCCAGCAGCCGCGGUAAUAC
rnacentral:rRNA from 1 species